GAGCUACAGCUGCCGGCCUACACCACAGCCACAUCAGAUUCGAGCCAAGUCUGUGACCUACACCACGGCUCAUGGCAAUACCAGAUCCUUAACCCACUGAUGGAGGCCAGGGAUUGAACCCGCAACCACAUACUUUUUAGUUGGAUUCAUUUCCACUGCACUGACAAGGGAACUCCAGCAGUGGUUAAAUUCUUGCUUGUUAAAACAUUUUGUAUUCAAAUUAGGAGCAGACUUUAUGGACAGUUUUUGUAAUGGAUGACUUCUUGGUUUUCUCUCAUUCCACUCCGAUAUCACUGCACCAGUUUCCUAAUCAAUCGAGCUGGGAGGGGGAGUGAUAGGGGUUUAAAUCCUAAGUCAAGAGAAUCCACAGUUUCAGUCUGAGACAAUCCUUACAGGAGGAUGGAUGAACUGAAAUCUGACUGGUGUUUUUAACAUUUAUGAAUGUGGAGUUCCCGUCGUGGCGCAGCGGUUAACGAAUCCAACUAGAAACCAUGAGGUUGCGGGUUCGAUCCCUGCCCUUGCUCAGUGGGUUAACGAUCCAGCGUUGCCGUGAGCUGUGGUGUAGGUUGCAGACGCGGCUCGGAUCCCGCGUUGCUGUGGCUCUGGCGUAGGCCGGUGGCUACAGCUCCGAUUCAACCCCUAGCCUGGGAACCUCCAUAUGCCGCGGGAGCGGCCCAAGAAAUAGCAACAACAACAACAACAACAACAAAAAGACAAAAAGACAAAAAAAAAAAAAAAAAAAAAAAUUUAUGAAUUUUACAUCAAAAUACAACAAAUAUAAAACUUGAGAGUAGAGGCGUUUAAACAAAUCUUAGAAAAUACAUGCAAGCCAGCAAUGAGCUGAAUGUGCUUCUUCUGUUCACAUUUCUUCUUCAUACAUGGAGUGGGUGUGCCUAGAAGACCUGUACUUUUUCACUGAUUGCUAACAUUCUAGAAGGAUGUCUUCCAAUUCAAGCUAAAAGCCUCCCUCAUGCUUCAUGUUCCUUGUGAGGAGAAAACAAAGACAAAAACAACAGCCUUGCUGCUAUCCACUAGUGAGCCUGGUCAUAAAUACUAAGAAGUAUCAAGAGAAUACCAACACCAAGUAAGAUUACUUGGAGAGCAUGAUAAAGUGAGACAAAAUGAUGGCAAUUCAUAAUUGUUUUCUAAGUACAGGGGAAAAAAAAAAGGUCACUGCGCCACCCCUCAAAUACCAAACACUCCAUUCUUUUGGUUAAAAUGAAUGACAGCUACUUUGUUUCCAGGAACGGCUCUUUCCUACCCAUCAUCUUCCCUCCUGUCGGUAAGAUUCAUUGACAGAUGAAUCACAGAAUUGCCCUGGCUUUCAGCAUCUGAUCUAAAUGACCCACCACUUUCAGGCUCUCCCUCAAAUCACCUGACCUAAGCCCAAAUCCUGCAGUAGCUUUCUUCUAACAUCCUCCUCCUGAGACACUCAGGGCAAUGAGGAAGAAACCCAACUUGUUCUAGAUUCCACUUGUUCUCAGGUGUGUUCCUGCUGGUUUCUGGCUGGAGAAUAUGGACGCGGGAAUGAUCUCAUCUUAGUCAGCUGACUCUGGCACCCCAAGGAGAAUACCCCCAUGCUUGAGCCUUUUUCCUAAACACUUCUUACUCCCUACUUCCCCACGGAGGGCUGGCCCCCUGUGCUAUUGUUGUCUGGAACCCCUUGCACUUCUCCCCUCUGACAGCCUCCACAUAUCGUGAGGUGUUUCUCCAAUGGCAAUGAAAGGUCUUGCAGGCAAGGGUGAGGAGUGAAGUCAGACCACAGUCCCAGUAUUCUAUUCCCUGAUGAAAAGUGUUUUAUAAAAGCUUGCUAAUUACACUGAGGAAUAUGGAAUGAUUGGCCAACGGGGACCUGUUGUAUAGCACAGGGAACUCGACCCAAUAUUCUGGGAUCAUCUAUGAGGAAAAAGAAUCUGUAUAACUGAAUCACAUUGCUGUAGAGCAGAAUUACCACCAACUUCUAAGUCAAUUAUACUUAAAAAAACUUGAAAAAAAUGGAAAAAAGUUGGCUAAUUCAUGGACAUAGGAAUUAAAGCUUUCUAACCUACCUUCUGUAUAGAUCACCACUUGGUCAUGACAUCUCUCAAGCCACCAACAUAUUUUGAGAAGAAUCUGCAAGAAUAAAACAGCAUUAAAAAUUGAAGUUUCACAGUGCCAAGAAAAUUCCUAAUUAUUGAGUCUAAGUCACUUAUUUUACAUUUCAAAUAGGAAUAUCCUUGCAGCUUUUUAAAUUCUUCACUGCAAAAUUUAGGUAUUCACAGACGAAGGAUUAAAAAGCAAAUUUAUUUCAAAGUAUUAUUUCUGUUUUGACACAAAUUCAUAAAACAAAAUCUAUUACCAAAAAAGACAUGCGAUAUAAUUUAAAUAUGUAAUUUGCAACAGCUACAUAUAUUGUAAAGCUACUGUUCUAAAACUAAGGAGCAAUUACCUCUUGUUUGCUUUAGCACUCAUGGAAAUGAAUCUGACUCGUAUGCAUGAGGACGCAAGUUCGAUCCCUGGCCUAGCUCAGUGGGUUAAGGAUCCCGUGUUGCUGUGAGCUGUGGUGUAGGUCUCAGACUCGACUCAGAUCUGUGCUGCCCUAAAAAGACAAAAAAAGAAAAAAACAACAAAUAGAUAUAAAAUGAAGUAGUGCAAAAGAACCCCAUGUGCACUUUUGCCUGUUUGAAAAUUACUUUUAGAAUUAUCGAAAAAAACUGAAAAUGUUUCAAAACAUUAUUUGAAAGAUAUGUAAGGGAGAGGGUAGGACGAUAUGCCUGCAUACUUAUUGCCUAAUAAUUUAAAUUACAAAUAUGGGGAGUAUAGACUUUCAGUUAUAAGACAGAUAAGUUCUAGAAAAUUCAUGUACAGCAUGGGGAUUACAAUUCAUAAUAAUGUGCCAUAUACUUAAUUUGCUAGAAGAAUAGAUCUGAAAUAUUCUGACCCCCGACACACAUACACACACACACACACACACACACACACAAAGGUAACUGUGUGAACUGAUGGAUAUGUUAAUUGGCUUGAUGAUGGGAUGGUUUCCUGAUUUCAUUUCAUGAAAUGAUAGUGGAAUCAUUUCACAUUGUGUAUGUAUAUCAAAACAUUAUGUUGUACAAUCUAAAUAUGUACGACUUUUGUCAACCACACCUCAGUAAAGCUGGAAAAAGUACAGAGACACAGCACUCCCCUCUUACCUCACCCUUACCAUUCUCUGCCUUAUCCAGUGUGCUGCUAUGAUGUACUUUGAACAUGCCAUGGUCUAGUCUCAGUUCCUUUUUAUCUGCUGUUUACUCUGUAAUCAGACUCUUAAGAUAGUUGUAUGGCCCUGCCCUGACUCCUGCUCUGCUAAAAAGGCACCAUGACAGGAAGAACUUCCCUGAUUACCUUAAAAACAAACAAACAAACAAAACCCUGGUCCUCACCUUCUCCCUUUGCAUUCUUAAUCCUCAUUCCUGCUUCAUUUUAGUUUUUAAAUGUUAGUUUUAUUUUUAAAUAAAAUAAAUUAUUUCAAAAUUUAGAUGUACAGAAAAAAAUCCAGAGACAGCAGAGACAGCUUCCGCAUGUCUGUUACACAACUUUCCUUAAGGUUAACCUCUUAUGUAACUAUAAUACAUUGAACAAAAGUAAACAAUUAACAUUGGUAUAAUACCAUACACUACACAAUACAGUUUUUAAUUUUACCACUUUUCCACUCAUUUGUCUUUUCUGGCCCAGAAGCCAGUACAGGGAGCUAUAAUGCAUUUAGUCAUCAAGACCCUUUCCUUUUCCCAAAUCUGAGAUGGAUCCUCAGACCAUCCUUGUUUUUCAUGACCUUGACACUUGUGAAAAAUACCAAUGAGGUAUUUUGUACAGUGCCUCUAGUUUGGGUUUGUCUGACUAGACUGGGGUUCAUGGGAUCCUCAUCCCUGCAAUGUCCCCCAGCAGUUCUAUCGGCCACUUGAUGGGACAAGAGAAGUGGGUCUUCUUGAGAGUGUCCUACACAGCUGGGGAAACCAGGCACUCACUCACACACCCUCACUUUACCCCUUGGAAGAAAUCACAGGCUGAGAAGAUAUGGCCUGACAUGAAGCUGUGCCACCUGGAGGACAGAUGACAUGUGUUAAGUCAAAUUACUCCUCUUCCCCUCAUCGGUAUGUCAAAUUUGUAUGUGUGUGUAUAUAUAUGUAUUUUAUAUAUAUUUUACAUAUGAAAUGUUUCUACAUAUACACACAUAUGUAUAUAUGUAUAUAUAUCUGUGUGUAUGUAUAUACAUAUAUACACUUUUAUACACACACACACACACACACACAUAUAUUUUGCUCCAGUGCUAUACCAGCACUUCCCUGGAAACCUAGCCUUCCUCAAAGUCUCUCUUACCCAUGAGUGAUUGUCAGAGUCAGUGUUCUUUAGGGACUUCUGGACCCCAGCUGAGCAGAGCUGAGGCAGGUUCAUGGGCUACUACAGUGUCCACAGGCAGGACCAAUUCCCGCCACAUGGAUGGGCAAGACUCCUCCAAGGACCCUUGGUACCUGGUGCUGAAAUCUCUCAUCUCCCAGAAAGUCACCUGUUUCUGUGGAUGAAUGCCAAGUUGUUGUUGGGGGAGGCGGGUAGCAGGAUCUGCAUUUUGAAAUCGUUUUUGUUAGGUGCAUACACAUUUAAAAUUGCUGGGUUGCGGGGAGCUGAGGAGAUGCAAGGACUCAAAAAAAGGACCUUGCCUGAUGGCAGAAAAACCUGAAGGCAAGUUCCUAACCAAGGAAGGGAGCUCAUCUGAAUGGUAUAUGCCAAAGGUGGGCCUCUGGACAGGAUGAAAACUCACCUGAAUGGUACAAGCCGAAGGUGGGCUUCUGGUCAGGAUAAAAAGCCUGCCUGAACAGUACAAGCUGAGGGCAGGCCUCAGGUUACACAGCUCUCAUUUUGAUGUUUAUGGGGAAGAACUGGGGCUUUCCUGGGAAAGCAAUUUCCAUGUUUGCUCUGGAGAACAUGGAUUGUUUCUCAGGUGACCUAGUCUAUCCUGUUGUUUUAUUUGUUAUUCAGUUUCCUCAGUCUUUCCUGAUUAUUUACUUAUUAUUCUUAUUUUCCAUUCUUAUUUUCCUGUGGUGAUUUGUGAUUUAACAAAAUUACAACAAUAAUAUAAUAAGAAUUUCAUCCUGAAGGACUUUCCCCUAUUUAAAUCCAACUUAAUUAAUAUAUAGUGUUUAUCUACUAACUAGUUAUACAGUAAACUUUAGAGUUAGGAUUUUAAUGAGGUUCAUAGAAGUUAGACAUAUAUUAUUCUUGACCAAAAGACACCUAGCUAUGAGUUAUAGAAGCUUUUAAGUGAUAUCUAGUUAAGUUGGUUUAUAUUUUCUUACACUGUCUCCCUGCCAUAAUGCUUUAAAGAUAAGCACCAGUCUAAAAACAAGAUUUGUGAAUUCCCAAUUCUUGUGUCUCUGACCUCUUCAACUUGUGGAGAAUUGCUGGCCAUGGGAUGAUUUGUACUGGGUCUCCUCCUUUCCACAUGAUGUAUUGUACCUAAUUGCCCUUAAAUUGUACUCACUUAGUUAAGACAAAUAUGUUAGAACGUGAUGUAUAGCUGCUGUACCAUGUAAAAGUUAACCAAUGUACUUUUAACACUACGAUGUAAUUUGUAGUGAAAAACUGCCGAUAUAAUCUACUACUUUUGCCAAAAAAAUUUGAGCAGUCCAGCGCCCUAAAAGAAGGGACAAAGAGGCUGUCUCCAUAUGUACAUUCGCCGACACCGUGUCCCUCUCCGAUCGGGAUGUAUACUCCCUGGCCGCUGGAGCUGGCCUCUGGCACUGUGUCUUUUUGGAGAAUUGUUGUCUUUAUCAUUAUGAGAAUCCUCAUUAAAAUAGGUGAGGCAGAAGCUGAUCAAUCUGAAAGGAGAAAUACACAAAUUCACAUUGUAGGAGAUAAGGACUCGUCACUCAAUAAAUGGUAGAAUAGGUAGGCAGAAAACCAUGUGAAUCAUCAUGACUUCAAAAAGUCAGGUGAACACUUAUGAUUUCAAAAACCAACUAGAGAUUACAAAUUAAAGUACUGCCAUGGUGUAAUUUUUGACUAUUUCUUAUUACCAUCUGAAGGGCAGGUGCAGUUUAGCCAGAUUUAGUGCUACAUGGCAUAUAGAAGGGUUUCUUUAGCAUGUACAUCAGAAUGAAAAGAGGGCUAAUAUGGGAACAGUGGUAUAGUACAUUUGGGUUAAGCUAAUUGCAUAUUUUCUUGUGAUAAGACUUCUAAUAAGACUCAUUAUUUAUGCACAUACAUAAAAUUGAGACACAAUUCCUUUUGUUCAACUCUUAAUAGUGUAUUUAGCAUUCUCAUUAACAAGUUUUCUCACCAGUGUAGAAGCUGUCCUUUGGUUUUGACUUUUGCUUCUAAACUAGAGAUAAAGCUUGCAAUCCAAUUUUGCAUUCACAGAAGAAUAAGAAAUUGCUCAAUGUGUCCAGUUCAAUACUAUAGUCAUGUUUGCAUGUUGAGAUAAGAACAGCCAAGUAGAGGGAAAAGAGGACGGCAGAGAACAGAAAGCAAGUAGUCUCCUUCCUUUGUUUUUAAAGCUAAGUGUGUUGGUAUGUUAAGCAAAUUCAAAUGUGAAUUACAUUAAAUAUUCCUACAGAAUUCAUUCUGCAGAAAAGGCUAAAGAAAUGACAAUCAUGGCAGCAACAGCAUUGAGAUAAAAUGUUAAUCUUUUUACUGAGAG
rnacentral:lncRNA from 9 species